UACGUAGGGUGCGAGCGUUAAUCGGAAUUACUGGGCGUAAAGGGCGCGUAGGCGGCCUUCUAAGUCGAACGUGAAAUCCCCGGGCUCAACCCGGGAACUGCGUCCGAUACUGGAAGGCUUGAAUCCGGGAGAGGGAUGCGGAAUUCCAGGUGUAGCGGUGAAAUGCGUAGAUAUCUGGAGGAACACCGGUGGCGAAGGCGGCAUCCUGGACCGGCAUUGACGCUGAGGCGCGAAAGCCAGGGGAGCAAACAGG
rnacentral:rRNA from 1 species